rnacentral:rRNA from 1 species
UGGUGCCUAUUAGCGGCGGACUGGAUGAGUAACGCGUGGGUGAUCUACCUUGAGGAUGGGGAUAGCCGAUAGAAAUAUCGGGUAAUACCGAAUAAUGUUGCCAAACUGUGGUUAGGUAAAGAAAGGCGCUUUGGCGCCGCCUUAAGAUGAGCCCGCGUUCCAUUAGCUAGUUGGUGGGGUAAAGGCCUACCAAAGGCAGUGAUGGAUAGCCGGCCUGAGAGGGUGAACGGCCACACUGGGACUGAGAUACGGCCAGACUCCUACGCGGAGGCAGCAGCUAAGAAUAUUCCGCAAUGGACGAAAGUCUGACGGAGCGACGCCGCGUGUAUGAAGAAGGCCGAAAGGUUGUAAAAGUACUUUCUACGGAUGAAGAAUCAAGCGUAGGAGGGAAUGCCUAUGUCGAUAGACGCUAGUCCCGUGAAUAAGCCCCGGCUAAUUCACGUG